CCCUUUCGGCUGCUCAAGUCCCUAUAAAAACAGCUCAGCCUUCCCCAGCAGCAUGUAGGAGCCUCUCCCCUCUGCUGUUGCGCCAGACACAGAGGCAGACUCACAGGACACCCGAGACAUCAUGAAGAGCCUGCUCCCUCUGGCCAUCCUGGCUGCGCUGGCCGUGGCAGCCCUGUGCUAUGGUGAGAAACCUCUCUCCCCGCUGUCUGUGGGGUUUUCCCUUCCAACCUCAGGCUUCCCUUCCCGGUUACUGUCACUCUCCCCUCCGUCCUCAUCUCUCCCGUUCUCUAUGACAAGCCAGAGUAUCGCGAAGUAACUUUCCCUGUUUCCACGGUCACGGGUCAUUCCAGAGCAUCUGUUUUGUAUUCUCUAUAUCCCAACGGGUGUGAGCUAUUUUUACAGGGGAGCCCUUUCGGGGAUAAAUCCACACACCUGGAAACCAAGAUGUUUCCAGGGAUGUGCCAGUUCCCGCCGCUAUAACCUUACUUUAAGAACUCUUCUCGGACUUGAGCAUCGAUGGAUUAAGGAUACUGCGUGGGUCAUUUACUUUAAGAAAAUAAGUUCUCAUGGCAAGUAUUAGAGAGAGCCUUUUUUAGGAGCAGAAGAAAUACCAUGUGUUUGGUGUGUUUAUUCAGCGAGUUUAUUUUUAAAAGAAACUUUAGAGCUGAAUUUUUAGAAAAGCAUCCAUUUCACAAUUGUUUGCAAAGGAUAAUUUUUUUCCUGCUACCUAUAUGUCGUUAAGUCAUAUGUGAUUUGUUCACGGGGUUGAAGCCAAAUCACUUACCUAGUUCUGCUUAAAUUGUUUUGGUUAUAUCUAGUUGUUAAAAUCUAAAUUGCAUAAACGGCUCUAAUGUUUCGGCUCUCGAUUUUUGAAUUAUUCAUAAACCUUUCUGCAUAUGUUCUUGCUUUCCUUGUCCCUUUCUCAUUUCUCGGGCAGACAGACACUUAUAAACACAGUCUCUUCUUCCCACCUUGCCCUCUGGGCUCCUUGGAGAGACAUAGAAAGAAACACUCGCUUUGACGUCCUCUCCGCCCUGGCUCCGUGCCCAGUUUUGAGCAGGGAGAGGGAGCCGGUGGUUUCUGAGGCUGCCAAUUUAACACCCGUCCUUAAGAGCUGUUCCGAACCCUCUUAGAAGCUGUCUGGGUCACGCAGCUCAAUAACUACCCUGGAGCUCCCUGAACCGAGCUGUUGCUGUAUACCCAACUUUAACUCCCUUCAGUCCAGUCUCAAAACGGCCGCUGAGUACAUCGAUGAGAGGGCGUUCUAGAAACUCCUUGUGACACAGAGCGCAUGGACCUGUGAGUUAUGUCUGAGAAUUUCAGUGGCCUCAGGAAAUCUUAGCCCCAACUGUCAACUACCUCCAAUCUCAGCAGAUGGGCAAGGAUGGAGACACCCAAAACAAAGAUAUAAAUAAAUUAUUCAUAAUUCCUAUAUGACCAGAAUUUCCUAACAACCACCUUGCUAAAUGCGCCCCUACCAUCUUUUCGCCUCUUCUUUUCCCAUUCCACCUCUGCAUUUAGAAAAUGACUGCAUGUGGCAAAAAAAAAAAAAAAAAAAAAGCCUAAAAUGAGUCUUUCUUUUGAAUUCCAGAAUCUCACGAAAGCAUGGAAUCCUAUGAAGUCAGUCCCUUCACCAACCGGAGAAAUGCCAACACCUUUAUAUCCCCUCAGCAGAGAUGGCACGCUAAAGCCCAGGAAAGAGUCCGGGAACUCAACAAGCCUGCCCAGGAGAUCAACAGGGAGGCCUGUGAUGACUACAAGCUGUGUGAGCGCUACGCCCUGAUCUACGGGUACAACGCCGCCUACAACCGCUACUUCAGGCAGCGCCGAGGAGCCAAAUAAGAGCGCAAGGAAACAGUCGCUUUGUUACGGAGUCUGGUUUCAUAUUCCCCUGCAGUAGCAUUACCGAUACACAGAUUCGUGUGCGUUGCUUGUUCCUCACAUGAUCUUCUGUCUGGCUGGGCCACUCCUUCCUUCCGCGGGUUGAAAGUAAUGAAAGAGCAGUAUUAAGAAAUGUGUUUAUAUAUAAUAAAAUUCUGGUUUGAUACUU
rnacentral:lncRNA from 1 species